UACGAAGGGGGCUAGCGUUGUUCGGAAUUACUGGGCGUAAAGCGCACGUAGGCGGAUAUUUAAGUCAGGGGUGAAAUCCUGGAGCUCAACUCCAGAACUGCCUUUGAUACUGAGAGACUUGAGUCCGGGAGAGGUGAGUGGAACUGCGAGUGUAGAGGUGAAAUUCGUAGAUAUUCGCAAGAACACCAGUGGCGAAGGCGGCUCACUGGCCCGGUACUGACGCUGAGGUGCGAAAGCGUGGGAGCAAACAGG
rnacentral:rRNA from 1 species